GACGAACGCUGGCGGCGCGCUUAACACAUGCAAGUCGAACGGAAAGGCCUGCUUUCCCUUGUGGAUUGCGGGUACUCGAGUGGCGAACGGGUGAGUAACACGUGAGUGAUCUGCCCCCAACUUGGGUAUAAGCCUGGGAAACUGGGUCUAAUUCCCGAUAGGACUGCAGGGUGGUGCCUGUGGUGGAAAACGAUUUUCUAGUGGUUGGGGAUGAGCUCGCGGCCUAUCAGCUUGUUGGUGGGGUAAUGGCCUACCAAGGCGGCGACGGGUAGCCGGCCUGAGAGGGUGGACGGCCACAUUGGGACUGAGAUACGGCCCAGACUCCUACGAGAGGCAGGAGUGGGGAAGAUUGGACAGUGGGCGGAAGCCUGAUGCAGCGACGCCGCGUGGGGGAUGACGGCCUUCGGGUUGUAAACUCCUUUCGACCGCGAGGAAGCCACCUGGUUGGAAGGGUGGUGACGGUAGUGGUAGAAGAAGCACCGGCUAACUACGUG
rnacentral:rRNA from 1 species